UCCCCCUGACCUCAGCAGGAUGCAGCAGAGAAAAUGGGAUGAGAAAGCUCAGAGAGAUUGUUCACCAGUCAUUGUUGUUGGCAAAACACACUCAUCUUGAGGAAAAGAACUCAUUACCCUGUAAAAGAGAUUCAGGUAGUGAGAGACAAAGAGAAAACUUGCUAGAGCUUGAGAGUGUUGGAAGAUGAAGCAGAAUGUUCUGUAAAACCCAAACUAGGUGGCCUUGGAUCUUCAACUCUAUUAAUGGAUGCCAAAGGCAGUUUUCAAUUCCAGAUGAGGAACACUGUCCAUUCUUAGAGCUGCCUGAAGACUUGUGGGCCCUCCUGUAUGGACCCAUACUUCUUAUUUCUGUGGCCAAAGGAAUGCUGAUCUGAAAAAAUGAAAUGCUAACUUCAGAGUAUUUGCAAACCUUACAUCUCUCUUGGCAAGAGUAUGGGUCAGCAUAUAGAAUGCUUGAAUGACUGCAUAAACUUGAAAAUUGGAAGAUUAAUCUUAGAGCUGGAAGGAGAGAGAUUUGGAGGUCAAAAUGAAGCAAUACCAUAUGAUUCAAUUCAUCACUGUGUAGUAGAAAAAAUGGCCUAAUAAUAGAGUGAAUAGCAUGAAUACUGUUGUAACUCUUGUUGAUGUUGCUCUUCUUUUUUCUAAUGAAAAAUUGGCUAAAACUUACAUAUAUAUUAUGAGGAUUUUGACACAUUUUUCUAAACUGUAGGUUUCAAUGUCUUGCUGUAGUUAUAAUCUUGUAGUAAGGUUUGUUUUUGCCUCUCUAUUUUUGUGUCAUAAUAUUAGCUAAGAAUGCUGAGCUUGUAAGGAGAGUUGGCCUAAUUGUUGCAUUUCCUUGGCUUCAUUGGCUGAGAUUUUUGUAAUUUCUGUAUGCCUCUAUUAAAUAAAUAAAGCAUUCUUGGCCA